UUUGGAAUUACAGCAUGUCAACGUGAGAAAGCCUCUUCAGACGGCUGCCACAAAGAGUAAAUCAAAGGCUGGGUUUUUCUGAAGUCUUAAUAAAUAACUAAGUGUAACUGAAUAAAACCAGGAGCUGUUCGUAUUUUUUUUUUUAAAGGCAAAACCAAACAGCAUGCAUUUCAUUGCUCUGCAUCAUCUAAGGAAAAAAAUCCUCAAUUUUAAUGAGAAUUAGUCAACAGUGAGGAUCAUUACCAGAAAGGGUUUUACUGUUUUUCAACUACACUUGCUUCAGUGGAUUACUGAGAGAGAAGGCCAGUCAUUUGGAAGGUUCUGUAACAUUAUUAUCCUCACCGAUAAACUUCUUCAUCAAGGAACUGUUCAUGCUCCUAUCUGGUCUGUCUGAACGAGGAGAGCAGCCCCUUCAUGAAGAUAAAAGCCUGGUUUGCCACUGAAUCGACAAGCAAGAAGCAUGUCUGAUGACAUUUUAUUCCUGAUGCAAUGUAGGCUAGCUGCCAGAAUAUUGGUGAAGGUAUUUGCAGGAAAAAUGGGGACCUCUGCCAUCAGAACACUGGAAGAUGUAAAAAGGCAAGAGGAGAAAGAGGAAAAAGAAGAAUCUAUUUUAGCACUGCUUGGGAUUAUUGGAACUGUACUCAAUUUAUUUGUUAUUGUUUUUGUGUACAUCUACACUACACUUUGACGACAUUUUUGAACAUCAAUUGCACAGCACACAGUGCAAAGACCAGCGAUGGUAAGAAUGAUUUCUAAAUUUAAAGCAAAAGAAAACAUUGUCUGAAAAGAUUAUCAAAAACAUUCCAGGGCAAAGUGUCUGGCUAAGGGCGCCGCAUCAAGGACUGCUAAAUCUAUCUGCGAGCCCAGCUAGGGUGCUAAAUUACGUAAACGAAGGCAGAGGAUAUUCAACUUCUCAUUCAUAACAGAUGAAAUUCAAAUAGCAGAAAGAGAGAUGGCAUUGUUUUAUUGCCAGCAAACAUGCAAGACACAAGAAAUGUAAGCAAACACUGAAAACAAUCAAGAACAUAGAAAGAGAUUAAUUAAAUAUAGAAAUACAUAUAAAGCAAGCCCCAUGACGCUUUCUAUGGCUUUGUGCAAUAUGUCUCUUCAUAGCUGAGACCAGAAAACAGACAAAAGGGUUUUAUUUUUAGAUCACUGUAAUUUAGGCUUGUAACUUACACUAAUGUAUAAGUGUGGAAACAGGAACACUGUUAUACCAAAAAUUGUAAUAUUAUAAAUAAAAUUUUAACUAUUGACUA